CAGUCGCCGCGGGAAUACCAGCACCUCGAGUGGUCAGGAGGUUUAUUGGGCCUAAAGCAUCCGUAGCCGGUUGCAUAAGUUUUCGGUUAAAUCUAUGCGCUUAACGUAUAGGCCGCCGAAAAUACUGUGCAGCUAGGGAGUGGGAGAGGUACACGGUACUCGAUAGGAAGGGGUAAAAUCCUUUGAUCUAUUGAUGACCACCUGUGGCGAAGGCGGUGUACCAGAACACGUUCGACGGUGAGGGAUGAAAGCUGGGGGAGCAAACCGGAUUAGAUACCCCAGUAGUCCCUGUCUCUUAUAC
rnacentral:rRNA from 1 species